UACGUAGGGACCAAGCGUUGUUCGGAUUUACUGGGCGUAAAGGGUGCGUAGGUGGUUAGGUAAGUCCGAUGUGAAAUCUCCAGGCUCAACCUGGAAAUGGCAUUGGAUACUAUUUAGCUUGAGGAGUGGAGGGGAGACUGGAAUACUUGGUGUAGCAGUGAAAUGCGUAGAUAUCAAGUGGAACACCAGUGGCGAAGGCGAGUCUCUGGACAUUUCCUGACGCUGAGGCACGAAAGCCAGGGGAGCAAACGGG
rnacentral:rRNA from 1 species